GUCAGGAUGGCCGAGCGGUCUAAGGCGCCAGUUUCAAGUUCUGGUUUCUGUAAAGGGGUGUGGGUUCAAAUCCCACUUCUGACA